GUGCCUAACACAUGCAAGUCGAACGAGAAAGUGGAGCAAUCCAUGAGUAAAGUGGCGACCGGGUGAGUAACACGUGACUAACCUACCUCCGAGUGGGGAAUAACUCCGGGAAACCGGGGCUAAUACCGCAUAACAUCGCAAGAUCAAAGCAGCAAUGCGCUGGGAGAGGGGGUCGCGGCUGAUUAGCUGGUUGGCGGGGUAACGGCCCACCAAGGCGAAGAUCGGUAUCCGGCCUGAGAGGGCGCACGGACACACUGGAACUGAAACACGGUCCAG
rnacentral:rRNA from 1 species